rnacentral:rRNA from 1 species
UACAGAGGGUGCAAGCGUUGUUCGGAAUUAUUGGGCGUAAAGGGCGCGUAGGCGGCUUGGCAAGUGGAUGGUGAAAUCCCUCGGCUUAACCGAGGAACUGCCGUCCAAACUGCUUCGCUUGAGACCGGGAGAGGUGAGUGGAAUUCCCAGUGUAGCGGUGAAAUGCGUAGAUAUUGGGAGGAACACCAGUGGCGAAGGCGGCUCACUGGACCGGUACUGACGCUGAUGCGCGAAAGCGUGGGGAGCAAACGGGG